AUUGAACGCUGGCGGCAUGCCUUACACAUGCAAGUCGAACGGCAGCACGGGAGCAAUCCUGGUGGCGAGUGGCGAACGGGUGAGUAAUAUAUCGGAACGUGCCCAGUAGUGGGGGAUAGCCCGGCGAAAGCCGGAUUAAUACCGCAUACGACCUGUGGGUGAAAGCGGGGGAUCGCAAGACCUCGCGCUAUUGGAGCGGCCGAUAUCAGAUUAGCUAGUUGGUGGGGUAAAGGCCUACCAAGGCGACGAUCUGUAGCUGGUCUGAGAGGACGACCAGCCACACUGGGACUGAGACACGGCCCAGACUCCUACGGGAGGCAGCAGUGGGGAAUUUUGGACAAUGGGCGCAAGCCUGAUCCAGCCAUGCCGCGUGUGGGAAGAAGGCCUUCGGGUUGUAACCACUUUAGUCAGGGAAGAAACGGACCUUUCUAAUACAAGGGCGUAAUGACGGUACCUGAAGAAUAAGACACCGGCUAACUACGUGCCAGCAGCCGCGGUAA
rnacentral:rRNA from 1 species